UACGUAGGGACCGAGCGUUGUCCGGAAUCACUGGGCGUAAAGGGCGCGUAGGCGGGAUGGCAAGUCGGUCGUGAAAUCCCUCGGCUCAACCGAGGAACGUCGAUCGAUACUGCUGUUCUUGAGGAUUGCAGAGGAGACUGGAAUUCCCGGUGUAGCGGUGAAAUGUGUAGAGAUCGGGAGGAACGACCGGUGGCGAAGGCGGGUCUCUGGGCAAUUCCUGACGCUGAGGCGCGAAAGCGUGGGGAGCAAACGGG
rnacentral:rRNA from 1 species